CGUAAUGUCUAAGACAGAUCCUCAUCUAGUUGUGACAGACCCACACAUGACUGCUCAUAAUCACUUGUUAUCGCAAGCCCAACUACAUCAUUGACACUUAAAAAACAUAUUUGGAAGAAAAAAAUUUAUAAAGUUAUGGUUUUUAU
rfam:Populus trichocarpa scaffold_8_contig_115, whole genome shotgun sequence.